rnacentral:rRNA from 1 species
GCUGGCGGCGUGCUUAACACAUGCAAGUCGAACGGAAAGGCCCUGCUUUUGUGGGGUGCUCGAGUGGCGAACGGGUGAGUAACACGUGAGUAACCUGCCCUUGACUUUGGGAUAACUUCAGGAAACUGGGGCUAAUACCGGAUAGGAGCUCCUGCUGCAUGGUGGGGGUUGGAAAGUUUCGGCGGUUGGGGAUGGACUCGCGGCUUAUCAGCUUGUUGGUGGGGUAGUGGCUUACCAAGGCUUUGACGGGUAGCCGGCCUGAGAGGGUGACCGGCCACAUUGGGACUGAGAUACGGCCCAGACUCCUACGGGAGGCAGCAGUGGGGAAUAUUGCACAAUGGGCGGAAGCCUGAUGCAGCAACGCCCCGUGCGGGAUGACGGCCUUCGGGUUGUAAACCGCUUUCGCCUGUGACGAAGCGUGACUGAC